GACGAACGCUGGCGGCGUGCUUAACACAUGCAAGUCGAACGGUAAGGCCCUUCGGGGUACACGAGUGGCGAACGGGUGAGUAACACGUGGGUGAUCUGCCCUGCACUUCGGGAUAAGCCUGGGAAACUGGGUCUAAUACCGGAUAGGACCACUGCCUGCAUGGGUGGUGGUGGAAAGCUUUUGCGGUGUGGGAUGGGCCCGCGGCCUAUCAGCUUGUUGGUGGGGUGAUGGCCUACCAAGGCGACGACGGGUAGCCGGCCUGAGAGGGUGACCGGCCACACUGGGACUGAGAUACGGCCCAGACUCCUACGGGAGGCAGCAGUGGGGAAUAUUGCACAAUGGGCGCAAGCCUGAUGCAGCGACGCCGCGUGAGGGAUGACGGCCUUCGGGUUGUAAACCUCUUUCAGCACAGACGAAGCGCAAGUGACGGUAUGUGCAGAAGAGGGACCGGCCAACUACGUGCCAGCCGCCGCGGUAA
rnacentral:rRNA from 1 species